rnacentral:lncRNA from 1 species
CAUCUUGUAUCUUUAGGUAUUCGGAGCCUCAACCAAGUCCCUCAAGGUUCUCAUCUCCUGAAUCUUGAGCUCGUGGAGAGCUAUGCACUGCCUCCAUCUUAGGACCACUUCUGUUCUAGGCCUAGGAUUUAAAUCCAAUCCUAGCCUCCCAGAGCCAACACCCUGGCUUCUAUCGUAGCCUCUCAAUGCUUGAGAGCACCACACCAACUCCUAUACAUUUAAGCUACAUUAUUAUUAAUCUUC